UACGUAGGGUGCAAGCGUUAAUCGGAAUUACUGGGCGUAAAGCGUGCGCAGGCGGUUUUGUAAGACUGUCGUGAAAUCCCCGGGCUUAACCUGGGAAUGGCGAUGGUGACUGCAAGGCUAGAGUUUGGCAGAGGGGGGUAGAAUUCCACGUGUAGCAGUGAAAUGCGUAGAUAUGUGGAGGAACACCGAUGGCGAAGGCAGCCCCCUGGGUCAAAACUGACGCUCAUGCACGAAAGCGUGGGGAGCAAAUAGG
rnacentral:rRNA from 1 species